GUUCCGUUGUAUAUUGAACUUUGAACCUGAGUUUGAUAAAGAUUAAGACAUAUAUAAACCUAUGUUUGAGAGUCGAACGUCAUCAACAUAAUUAAGUGAAAGCGACUGAUUAAUGUAUAACAAACACCACCUGAUGUUUUUAUUUAAAGCAGUGAGUUCAAAUCACAUGAUGGAAACACCAUAUACUCGUUAAUUGUAAUGUAAGGCUGAAACACUUAUACGGCAAAGAUGACCUUGGUUCUGCUCUUUUGAAUUGUGUUAUAAUUUGUUAUGACGGGCCGAAUUACACAGUAAGGGAUUUGCUCAUUUACUUAAUUAGAUAUCUGGUGGAUAGUUGUCCAAUUGUCAAUCAUACCACAUUGUUAUAUCUUUAUAUUAAGCACUCUCGUCGUUUUUUUUUUUUUUUUUUUUUUUUAAU
rnacentral:lncRNA from 1 species